rnacentral:lncRNA from 1 species
GUUAGAGGUAGUACUGGGGCUGGGGUUAGAGGUAGUACUGGGGCUGGGGUUAGAGGUAGUACUGGGGUUAGAGGUAGUACUGGGAUUAGAGGUAGUACUGGGGCUGGGGUUAGAAGUAGUACUGGGGUUAGAGGUAGUACUGGGACUAGAGAUAGUACUAGGGCUGGGGUUAGAGGUAGUACUAGGGCUGGGGUUAGAGGUAGUACUGGGGCUGGGGUUAGAGGUAGUACUGGGGCUGGGGUUAGAGGUAGUACUGGGGUUAGAGGUAGUACUGGGGCUGGGGUUAGAGGUAGUACUGGGGUUAGAGGUAGUACUGGGGUUAGAGGUGGUGCUGGGGUUAGAGGUAGUGCUGGGGUUAGAGGUAGUACUGGGGUUAGAGGUAGUACUGGGGUUAGAGGUAGUACUGGGGUUAGAGGUAGUACUGGGGUUAGAGGUAGUACUGGGGUUAGAGGUGGUACUGGGGUUAGAGGUAGUACUGGUGUUAGAGGUAGUACUGGGGUUAGAGGUAGUGCUGGGGGUUAGAGGUAGUACUGGCGUUAGAGGUAGUACUGGGGUUAGAGGUAGUACUGGGGUUAGAGGUACCUCAUAACAGAUGAAACUCAUCAGACAGACACAGAGACUACACCACGGCCUUGACUCAUGGAAUGAGCUGGAACUAGGAGAUAUACCCGUUACUGACAGUACUGUCCAGCCCCCGCAUGCUCUCUCUCUCACACACACCUCCAUUUUGUUCUCAUUUCCCCAGUGCAGGAUCAGAGGAGAGACCACUGUUGACCACUGACCACCCAUAGAGGGAAGGAGUGAAAGGGAGAGAGAGAAGGAAAGAGAGCGAGUGAUAG